AGUGAACGCUGGCGGUAGGCCUAACACAUGCAAGUCGAACGGCAGCACAGUAAGAGCUUGCUCUUACGGGUGGCGAGUGGCGGACGGGUGAGUAACACGUGAGUAACCUGCCCUUGACUUUGGGAUAACUUCAGGAAACUGGGGCUAAUACCGGAUAGGAGCUCCUGCUGCAUGGUGGGGGUUGGAAAGUUUCGGCGGUUGGGGAUGGACUCGCGGCUUAUCAGCUUGUUGGUGGGGUAGUGGCUUACCAAGGCUUUGACGGGUAGCCGGCCUGAGAGGAUGAUCAGCCACACUGGAACUGAGACACGGUCCAGACUCCUACGGGAGGCAGCAGUGGGGAAUAUUGCACAAUGGGCGGAAGCCUGAUGCAGCAACGCCGCGUGCGGGAUGACGGCCUUCGGGUUGUAAACCGCUUUCGCCUGUGACGAAGCGUGAGUGACGGUAAUGGGUAAAGAAGCACCGGCUAACUACGUG
rnacentral:rRNA from 1 species